rnacentral:tRNA from 1 species
GUAGUUGUGGCCGAGUGGUGAAGGCAAUGGACUAGAAAUCCACUGGGGUUUCCCCACACAGGUUUGAAUCCUGCCAAUCUACA